UUGAACGCUGGCGGAAUGCUUUACACAUGCAAGUCGAGCGGCAGCGCGGGGGCAACCUUGGCGGCGAGCGGCGAACGGGUGAGUAACAUAUCGGAACGUACCCAGACGUGGGGGACAACUAGUCGAAAGACUAGCUAAUACCGCAUACGUCCUGAGGGAGAAAGCGGGGGAUCGCAAGACCUCGCGCGUUUGGAGCGGCCGAUAUCUGAUUAGCUAGAUGGUGGGGUAAAGGCUCACCAUGGCGACGAUCAGUAGCUGGUCUGAGAGGAUGAUCAGCCACACUGGAACUGAGACACGGUCCAGACUCCUACGGGAGGCAGCAGUGGGGAAUUUUGGACAAUGGGCGCAAGCCUGAUCCAGCCAUGCCGCGUGAGUGAAGAAGGCCUUCGGGUUGUAAAGCUCUUUCAGACGGAAAGAAAUCGGGCGCGUGAAUAGCGUGCCUGGAUGACGGUACUGUCAGAAGAAGCACCGGCUAACUACGU
rnacentral:rRNA from 1 species